UCUGUUGUUAAAGACUGGGGCUUAACCCCAGGAAAGCAAUGGAAACUACUAGACUAGAGUAUGGUAGGGGUAAAGGGAAUUUCUAGUGUAGCGGUGAAAUGCGUAGAUAUUAGAAAGAACACCGGUGGCGAAAGCGCUUUACUGGACCAUUACUGACACUCAGAGGCGAAAGCUAGGGUAGCCAAAGGGAUUAGAUACCCCUGUAGUCCUAGCCGUAAACGAUGGAUACUAGAUGUUGCGCUUAUUGUGCAGUGUCGUAGCUAACGCGUUAAGUAUCCCGCCUGGGGAGUACGAUCGCAAGGUUGAAACUCAGAGGAAUUGACGGGGGCCCGCACAAGCGGUGGAGCAUGUGGUUUAAUUCGAUGCAACGCGAAGAACCUUACCAGGGCUUGACAUACUGCAAAUUUUCUUGAAAGAGAAAAGUGCCUUCGGGAAUGCAGAUACAGGUGGUGCAUGGCUGUCGUCAGCUCGUGUCGUGAGAUGUUGGGUUAAGUCCCGCAACGAGCGCAACCCUCGUUUUUAGUUGCCAUUUUAUGGGUUCUCUAGAAAGACUGCCGGUGACAAACCGGAGGAAGGUGGGGAUGACGUCAAGUCAGCAUGCCCCUUAUGCCCUGGGCUACACACGUGCUACAAUGGCUAAGACAAAGAGUCGCGAAUUCGCGAGAAUCAGCUAAUCUCAUAAACUUAGUCUAAGUUCAGAUUGUAGGCUGCAACUCGCCU
rnacentral:rRNA from 1 species